AUUGAACGCUGGCGGCAGGCCUAACACAUGCAAGUCGAGCGAGCGGCGGACGGGUGAGUAAUGUCUGGGAAACUGCCUGAUGGAGGGGGAUAACUACUGGAAACGGUAGCUAAUACCGCAUACCAUCAGAUGUGCCCAGAUGGGAUUAGCUAGUAGGUGGGGUAACGGCUCACCUAGGCGACGAUUCCUAGCUGGUCUGAGAGGAUGACCAGCAACACGGGAACGGAGACACUGUCCAGAAGCCUACGGUAGGCAGCAGUGGGGAAUAAUGCACAAUGGGCGCAAGCCUGAUGCAGCCAUGCCGCGUGUGUGAAGAAGGCCUUCGGUUGGUAAAGCACUUUCAGCGGGGAGGCGUUACCCGCAGAAGAAGCACCGGCUAACUCCGUGCCAGCAGCCGCGGUAAUUC
rnacentral:rRNA from 1 species